rnacentral:misc_RNA from 1 species
GUAUUGUAUUGCGUUAAACGCGACGUACAUUCCACGAGACUUUGUUACGGCGUGUGUGUAAAGACGUAGGACCACGGCAAGGGGACAGGGUCCCCAAGGCCAUAGAACUACAGAGGGUGCACAGGUGUGAGUGGAUGUGUAAACAGAGCGUGCACGUGCCCCUUUCGAGGGCCGGCGACAACUCGUGUCGACGGUUCGGUAAUGAUCCUUCCGCAGGUUCACCUACGGAAA